UUGAAAUAAACCUGAUGGGUUGUUGCUGGCUCUCUAGGGAGCAUGUGCACGCCUUGUCAUCUUUAUAUCUCCACCUGUGCACCUUUUGUAGACCCCUCCCCGGGUCUAUGUUGCUUCAUUUGCCCCAAUGUAUGUCGAUAGAAUGUUUGUCCCAAUGAAAUAUAUA
rnacentral:misc_RNA from 1 species